AAUUCGCAGCCCGACUUUAGUGAAAAUCCUUUUUGCCUGAAUAAACUUUUCGAUUUAUAAAAACUUUUCGAAGUAAAAAGAUUGGGAACGGAAGGCGGAAAUGUCU
rnacentral:sRNA from 1 species